rfam:Nelumbo nucifera unplaced genomic scaffold scaffold00271, whole genome shotgun sequence
AGUCCAUGAUGAGAGACCUUCCUCAAUAACUCCUUGUAACGCUCCCAUGAUUCAUACAGUGAUUCCUCGUCCUGCUGAAAGAAGGUGGUGAUAUCAUUUCUCAUUUU